rnacentral:rRNA from 1 species
UACGGAGGGUGCGAGCGUUGUCCGGAAUCAUUGGGCGUAAAGGGCGCGUAGGUGGUGGGGUCAGUUCGUGGUGAAAGCGCGGAGCUCAACUCCGCGUCGGCCAUGAAUACUGCUUCACUUGAGCACUGUAGAGGCAGGCGGAAUUCCGGGUGUAGCGGUGGAAUGCGUAGAGAUCCGGAAGAACACCGGUGGCGAAGGCGGCCUGCUGGGCAGUUUUGCUGACACUGAGGCGCGACAGCGUGGGGAGCAAACAGG